rnacentral:rRNA from 1 species
GCCGCGUGAGGGAUGACGGCCUUCGGGUUGUAAACCUCUUUCAGUAGGGAAGAAGCGAAAGUGACGGUACCUGCAGAAGAAGCGCCGGCUAACUACGUGCCAGCAGCCGCGGUAAUACGUAGGGCGCAAGCGUUAUCCGGAAUUAUUGGGCGUAAAGAGCUCGUAGGCGGUUUGUCGCGUCUGCCGUGAAAGUCCGGGGCUCAACUCCGGAUCUGCGGUGGGUACGGGCAGACUAGAGUGAUGUAGGGGAGACUGGAAUUCCUGGUGUAGCGGUGAAAUGCGCAGAUAUCAGGAGGAACACCGAUGGCGAAGGCAGGUCUCUGGGCAUUAACUGACGCUGAGGAGCGAAAGCAUGGGGAGCGAACAGGAUUAGAUACCCUGGUAGUCCAUGCCGUAAACGUUGGGCACUAGGUGUGGGGGACAUUCCACGUUUUCCGCGCCGUAGCUAACGCAUUAAGUGCCCCGCCUGGGGAGUACGGCCGCAAGGCUAAAACUCAAAGGAAUUGACGGGGGCCCGCACAAGCGGCGGAGCAUGCGGAUUAAUUCGAUGCAACGCGAAGAACCUUACCAAGGCUUGACAUGAACCGGUAAUACCUGGAGACAGGUGCCCCGCUUGCGGUCGGUUUACAGGUGGUGCAUGGUUGUCGUCAGCUCGUGUCGUGAGAUGUUGGGUUAAGUCCCGCAACGAGCGCAACCC